UCCCUGGUGGUCCAGUGGUUAGGACUUGAUGUUUUUCACUGCCGAGGGCCUGGGUUCAAUCCCUGGUCAGGGAA
rnacentral:tRNA from 1 species